CAUGGAGGGUGAGAAUCCCGUCCGGCUGACCUUCAGGACGUUUUACGAUACGCUCUCAAAGAGUCGAGUUGUUUGGGAUUGCAGCUCAAAAUGGGAGGUAAAUUUCUCCUAAGGCUAAAUACCGGCGAGAGACCGAUAGCGAACAAGUACCGUGAGGGAAAGAUGAAAAGAAUUUUGAAAAGAAAGUCAAACAGUACGUGAAAUUGUUGAAAGGGAAACGAUUGAAGCCAGUCGUACCGACGGGAAUUCAACUUCUCGAGUGCUAAUCGUGGGUGACGUUGAGCCUCACGGCCUUCGUUGCUUGUGUUGUUGGUGCUUUUGGGGUGUACUUUUCCGUAUUGGUAGGUCAGCAUCGAUUUCGAUCGUCAUAAAAUGAUCGGGGGAAUGUAGCUUCGGUCUCGUAUCGGAGUGUUAUAGACCUUGGUAGAUGUGACGAUUGGGAUCGAGGAUUGCAACGAAUACCCUUUGGGCUAUCCGUCUGUCCUCUGAAAGUCGCUCGGGUGUCGAAAGCUUGCUUAUGGCUAUUCGAGUUGGCGGUCAAUAGGUUAGAACGUGAUUAUAUUCGUUAAGGAUGUUGACGUAAUGG
rnacentral:rRNA from 1 species